rnacentral:tRNA from 1 species
CGGAAGAGUGGUCGAGUGGUUUAAGGCACCGGUCUUGAAAACCGGCGUGCGGGGAACCGUACCGUGGGUUCGAAUCCCACCUCUUCCGCCAA